rnacentral:tmRNA from 1 species
GGGGCUGACCGGUUUUGACAGCGGGUUCAGAGUCUUGAGGUAAGCAUGCCGAGGGUUGUAAGGGACCUCGUUAAACGGAACUUUCAAACCAUAAAUGGCAAUAACAGCUAUGCACUCGCUGCGUAAUCUCACCAAGUGAAAUUACCUUAAUCCGCCCGGCCAAGGAGUCGGGCCGACGAGUACCCGCCGGAACAGGACCGCUUUCAGCCCGUUUCGGCAAUGGGUAUCAUUCAAUUGAGAGAUAGCCAUUCGACCGUCCGGAUCGAAUGGCGAAAUUCAACGGACUACGGAUCGGGCUCGGGUGUUUCCCUCCUGGCCCCCUCCCGACAAUCAAGCGGAGACUAAGCAUGUAGAAAGCUUCGGGGUUCCUCGUUUGGACGAGGGUUCGAUUCCCUCCAGCUCCACGA